rnacentral:rRNA from 1 species
GACGAACGCUGGCGGCAUGCCUAACACAUGCAAGUCGAACGGAGCGAAUGCAGGAAACCCCUUCGGGGGAGGAAUGCAUAAGCUUAGUGGCGGACGGGUGAGUAACGCGUGAGCAACCUGGCUUUAAGAGGGGGACAACAUUGAGAAAUCAAUGCUAAUACCGCAUAAAAGUGCAGUACGCAUGUACUGUAUGUAAAAGGAGAAAUCCGCUUAAAGAUGGGCUCGCGUCCCAUUAGUUAGUUGGUGAGGUAAAGGCUCACCAAGGCAGCGAUGGGUAGCCGGACUGAGAGGUUGACCGGCCACACUGGGACUGAGACACGGCCCAGACUCCUACGGGAGGCAGCAGUGGGGAAUAUUGGGCAAUGGGCGAAAGCCUGUCCCAGCAAUGCCGCGUGAAUGAAGAAGGUCUUCGGAUUGUAAAGUCCUGUCAUAUGGGAAGAAAGAAAUGACGGUAUCUAACCAGAAAGCCACGGCUAACUACGUGCCAGCCGCCGCCGUAA